CUUUUAGGUGACCCAAAACGAGGAGAGCUCUUCAAAUGGAGGAUUGUUCUCACCAAAGAAGAACAUCUUAUUUACUUGCUUUUAUGGGUUAUAGUCUGGGGACUUCUGGCAACCUGUAUGUUUGUGUUUCUCCUCCAUUUGUGUGAUUUAGGGAAAGAGUGGCUGGAUCUUCUCCCUGGAGAAAUGCUAACAGAUCAAACCAGCUGCUCAAGUCUGACUUUUUCUAUGAAGCAUAGAAUUACCAGCAACAACCAGUAAGGAGGACAAUUAUGGAGAGAAUCUGAAAGGUGGAGAAUUUCUGCCGGCUUGAAGGUUAAAAGUCAAGGUCAAAAGCAAAUUCCCAAGGACAAUACACAUAAUGCCAAGGACACAUGUGAUUCUAGGCCUAAGUCCAAGAUUUCCACGGUCUCCUAAGAGGGAGAGUUCAUUUUCAGGAUGCUGAAACCACAAAACACUUUUUACAGGACGGCCCUUCUUCUAAGAGGAAGGCAACCGAUCGGAGAAGGGGAAGAAGAAAAAGAAGAAGAAAAAUCUGCAAGACGAUGCUUUUCUUCUUGGCUUUCCGAGGAAGAAGUGGCAUAAUUAGAACAGUUUUAGAUUUGGUUCCAAACCCAGGAUACAAACAUGAUUUAGAUAUAAACAAAGGAUGGGUACAGAAAUGGGAAG
rnacentral:lncRNA from 1 species